AUCGCUUCUUGGCCUUUUGGCUAAGAUCAAGUGUAGUAUCUACUGAACAGUAACAGUUUUCCACUGAUC
rnacentral:snRNA from 1 species